UACGGAGGGUGCGAGCGUUGUCCGGAAUCACUGGGCGUAAAGGGCGCGUAGGUGGCCUGUGGAAGUCUGCGGUGAAAGCCCGGCGCUCAACGCCGGGUCGGCCGUGGAUACUCUCGGGCUUGAGCUUACUAGAGGCAGAUGGAAUUCCGGGUGUAGCGGUGGAAUGCGUAGAGAUCCGGAAGAACACCGGUGGCGAAGGCGGUCUGCUGGGGUAAUGCUGACGCUGAUGCGCGACAGCGUGGGGAGCAAACAGG
rnacentral:rRNA from 1 species